rnacentral:rRNA from 1 species
GACGAACGCUGGCGGCAUGCCUAACACAUGCAAGUCGAACGAGACCUUCGGGUCUAGUGGCGCACGGGUGCGUAACGCGUGGGAACCUGCCCUUAGGUUCGGAAUAACUCCCCGAAAGGGGUGCUAAUACCGGAUAAUGUCUUCGGACCAAAGAUUUAUCGCCUUUGGAUGGGCCCGCGUUGGAUUAGCUAGUUGGUAGGGUAAAAGCCUACCAAGGCGACGAUCCAUAGCUGGUCUGAGAGGAUGAUCAGCCACACUGGGACUGAGACACGGCCCAGACUCCUACGGGAGGCAGCAGUGGGGAAUAUUGGACAAUGGGCGAAAGCCUGAUCCAGCAAUGCCGCGUGAGUGAUGAAGGCCUUAGGGUUGUAAAGCUCUUUUACCCGGGAUGAUAAUGACAGUACCGGGAGAAUAAGCUCCGGCUAACUCCGUG